GAACGCACAUUGCACCCUCUGGUAAUCCAGAGGGUAUGCCUGUUUGAGUGUCAUUAGCAACAUCAAAUCACAGAUUUUGCUCUGUGAUUUGGACUUUGAAGGCAUUGCUGACUGUUAAAGUCAGCUCCUUUUAAAUGCAUUAGCAGGUUGCAAACAACUGGCCCCAGUUUGAUAGACUUAAUCAUCUGUGCUGUCGCUAGUAGUUUUGACCGCUGCCAAUUGUCUUUGGACUUGCCAUCAGGCAAUACAUUUUAAGUCUUGACCUCAAAUCAGGUAGGAUUACCCGCUGAACUUAAG
rnacentral:misc_RNA from 1 species